GGGAAACUGCCUGAUGGAGGGGGAUAACUACUGGAAACGGUAGCUAAUACCGCAUAACGUCGCAAGACCAAAGAGGGGGACCUUCGGGCCUCUUGCCAUCAGAUGUGCCCAGAUGGGAUUAGCUAGUAGGUGGGGUAACGGCUCACCUAGGCGACGAUCCCUAGCUGGUCUGAGAGGAUGACCAGCCACACUGGAACUGAGACACGGUCCAGACUCCUAUGGGAGGCAGCAGUGGGGAAUAUUGCACAAUGGGCGCAAGCCUGAUGCAGCCAUGCCGCGUGUAUGAAGAAGGCCUUCGGGUUGUAAAGUACUUUCAGCGGGGAGGAAGGUGUUGAGGUUAAUAACCUCAGCAAUUGACGUUACCCGCAGAAGAAGCACCGGCUAACUCCGUGCCAGCAGCCGCGGUAAUACGGAGGGUGCAAGCGUUAAUCGGAAUUACUGGGCGUAAAGCGCACGCAGGCGGUCUGUCAAGUCGGAUGUGAAAUCCCCGGGCUCAACCUGGGAACUGCAUUCGAAACUGGCAGGCUGGAGUCUUGUAGAGGGGGGUAGAAUUCCAGGU
rnacentral:rRNA from 1 species